rnacentral:rRNA from 1 species
CAGUAGCCACGGUAAUACGAGGGGGGCAAGCGUUGUUCGGAAUUAUUGGGCGUAAAGGGUGCGUAGGCGGUUUGGCAAGUUUGGUGUGAAAUCUUCGGGCUCAACUCGAAGUCUGCAUCGAAAACUGCCGGGCUUGAGUAUGGGAGAGGUGAGUGGAAUUUCCGGUGUAGCGGUGAAAUGCGUAGAUAUCGGAAGGAACACCUGUGGCGAAAGCGGCUCACUGGACCAUAACUGACGCUGAUGCACGAAAGCUAGGGGAGCAAACAGGAUUAGAUACCCGCGUAGUCCCUGUCUCUUAUAC